AUUGAACGCUGGCGGCAUGCCUUACACAUGCAAGUCGAACGGCAGCGCGGACUUCGGUCUGGCGGCGAGUGGCGAACGGGUGAGUAAUACAUCGGAACGUACCCUGUUGUGGGGGAUAACUAGUCGAAAGAUUAGCUAAUACCGCAUACGACCUGAGGGUGAAAGUGGGGGACCGCAAGGCCUCACGCAGCAGGAGCGGCCGAUGUCUGAUUAGCUAGUUGGUGGGGUAAAGGCCCACCAAGGCGACGAUCAGUAGCUGGUCUGAGGACGAUCAGCCACACUGGGACUGAGACACGGCCCAGACUCCUACGGGAGGCAGCAGUGGGGAAUUUUGGACAAUGGGGGCAACCCUGAUCCAGCAAUGCCGCGUGUGUGAAGAAGGCCUUCGGGUUGUAAAGCACUUUUGUCCGGAAAGAAAUCGCGCUGGUUAAUACCUGGCGUGGAUGACGGUACCGGAAGAAUAAGCACCGGCUAACUACGUG
rnacentral:rRNA from 1 species